rnacentral:rRNA from 1 species
AUUGAACGCUGGCGGCAGGCCUAACACGUGCAAGUCGAGCGGAUGAAGGGAGCUAGCUCCUGGAUUCAGCGGCGGACGGGUGAGUAAUGCCUAGGAAUCUGCCUGGUAGUGGGGGAUAACGUCCGGAAACGGGCGCUAAUACCGCAUACGUCCUGAGGGAGAAAGUGGGGGAUCUUCGGACCUCACGCUAUCAGAUGAGCCUAGGUCGGAUUAGCUAGUUGGUGGGGUAAAGGCCUACCAAGGCGACGAUCCGUAACUGGUCUGAGAGGAUGAUCAGUCACACUGGAACUGAGACACGGUCCAGACUCCUACGGGAGGCAGCAGUGGGGAAUAUUGGACAAUGGGCGAAAGCCUGAUCCAGCCAUGCCGCGUGUGUGAAGAAGGUCUUCGGAUUGUAAAGCACUUUAAGUUGGGAGGAAGGGCAGUAAGUUAAUACCUUGCUGUUUUGACGUUACCAACAGAAUAAGCACCGGCUAACUUCGUG